UGACCUAUCAGGUUCAUCUCACCUCCUUCACUCAUAAAAUAACCAACAAGUCUCCUCACAAGACACAAUGUCAAGAUGAUGAUGAUCGUGUUGUGGGUUACACUGCUUCUCCUUCACCAGGGAUAUACGCUGACUCCAGUGACCACAGUUCAUCUUGGUGAACCUGCCACCUUGACAUGUGUUUUCUCUAAUAAAGAGUUGAGCAGCAAAAAACUCCACUGGUACAAGCAGAGUGCCGGGGAAACUCUGAAAUGUAUUGUGACACUGUGGAAAUCUACACAACCUCAGUAUGCACCAGAUGUUUCUGAAUCACGAUUGGAGGUAAAAUAUGAUAAGAAUUUUAGCAACCUGACCAUUCUGAGUACAACCAAAGAAGAUGAGGGAAUGUAUCACUGUGCUUUUAUGGAGUGGAAUGAUAAUCAAUGGAGUGGGACAUAUUUGUUAGUAAAAGGAAACACUCAGAGGACAUCAAACUAUACUGUUGUUCAGUGGCCAACAUUAUCUGAUCCAGUCCGUCCAGGAGACUCAGUGUCUUUUCAGUGUUCAAUCCUCUCUGACUCUGAGGACAAGACGUGUCCAGGAGAUGACAGUGUGUUCUGGUUCAGAGCCGGAUCAGAUAAAUCUCAUCCAGACAUCAUCUACACUGAUGAAAGACAACAUGACGGAUGUGACAAGAGAUCUGACACUCAGAAGAGUUGUGUUUAUCGCUUUUCUAAAAUCGUCAGCUCCUCUGAUGCCGGGACUUACUACUGUGCUGUGGCCACAUGUGGGGAGAUAUUAUUUGCAGAUGGAACUAAACUGGACAUUGAAGGAACCAGUGUGUGGUCACAGAAGGCCAAUACAAUUAUUUUCUCGGUUAUCUCGGCCAUAAGUCUGAUUGUUACAGCCUUCCUCAUUUACGCCAUCAAGAGAAACAACACUGCUGUUGCCGGGCAAAAACACAGUGGUGGUCAGAAAAUUCCACAGAGAGAUGAAGACACAAGUAUUUAUUCUGCUGUCGUCUUCACUGUGAUGAAAACUGGAAGUGGUGCGAUAAAGAAAUCAAAAGCAGCAGAGAGACAGAGGAGCUACGCUGCGGUCAAGGCUUUUGGGAUGGAUUAGUGAGUUAACAGGUCUGUUUGCCAUCAGUUGGUACUGUAUGUUAGUCUGUUUGGAGCUAAAGGUUUGCUAUCUGUGGCUUUUAGGUAAUGCUGUAAGUGUUAUAUCACUCUAAAUAAGUAUUAAUUUGUGUCUCUUUUAUGCAAAUGUGCACCAUCAAAAGUUAUAUAGCAGGGUGCCCUGAUGGCUUACUGAUGGGUGUAAGAUACCAACCACAAACAGCAACAGCCCUGAUUCAUGUCCAGCUGGGAACCUUUGUUAAAUGUCAUUUUCUUUCUCUCUCCCUCAUUUCCUGUCCUCUUGCUACUAUUGCUAUUCAAUAAAGGAAAAAAAUACCUACC